UUUGGAAUUUUGGACAAUGGGCGAAAGCCUGAUCCAGCGACGCCGCGUGGACGAUGAAGGCCUUCGGGUCGUAAAGUCCUUUUGCUCGGGAACAAUAUUUUGAGCGUACCGAGAGAAUAAGAGGUUGCUAACUCUGUGCCAGCAGCAGCGGUAAUACAGAGACCUCAAGCGUUAUCCGGAAUCAUUGGGCGUAAAGCGUACCGAUAGGUGGUUUUACAAGUCAGAAGUGAAAUCUCUCAGCUUAACUGGGAGACUGUCUUUUGAAACUGUAAAACUAGAGGGGCAAAGAGGAAGCUGGAACAAGCGGUGUAGUAGUGAAAUGCGUUGAUAUCGCUUGGAACACCAAUAGCGUAGGCAGGCUUCUGGGUGCCACCUGACACUGCUAGGACGAAAGCGUGGGGAGCGAAUGGG
rnacentral:rRNA from 1 species